rnacentral:rRNA from 1 species
GGAAAAGAAACCAACGGGGAUUACCUUAGUAACGGCGAGUGAAGCGGUAAAAGCUCAAAUUUGAAAUCUGGUACUUUCAGUGCCCGAGUUGUAAUUUGUAGAAUUUGUCUUUGAUUAGGUCCUUGUCUAUGUUCCUUGGAACAGGACGUCAUAGAGGGUGAGAAUCCCGUUUGGCGAGGAUACCUUUUCUCUGUAAGACUUUUUCGAAGAGUCGAGUUGUUUGGGAAUGCAGCUCAAAGUGGGUGGUAAAUUCCAUCUAAAGCUAAAUAUUGGCGAGAGACCGAUAGCGAACAAGUACAGUGAUGGAAAGAUGAAAAGAACUUUGAAAAGAGAGUGAAAAAGUACGUGAAAUUGUUGAAAGGGAAGGGCAUUUGAUCAGACAUGGUGUUUUUUGCAUGCACUCGCCUCUCGUGGGCUUGGGCCUCUCAAAAAUUUCACUGGGCCAACAUCAGUUCUGGCAGCAGGAUAAAUCAUUAAGAAUGUAGCUACCUCGGUAGUGUUAUAGCUUAUUGGAAUACUGCUAGCUGGGAUUGAGGACUGCGCUUCGGCAAGGAUGUUGGCAUAAUGGUUAAAUGCCGCCC